rnacentral:rRNA from 1 species
GAGCAGUAGGGAAUCUUCCACAAUGGACGAAAGUCUGAUGGAGCAACGCCGCGUGAGUGAAGAAGGUCUUCGGAUCGUAAAACUCUGUUGUAAGGGAAGAACAAGUACCGUAGUAACUGGUGGUACCUUGACGGUACCUUAUUAGAAAGCCACGGCUAACUACGUGCCAGCAGCCGCGGUAAUACGUAGGUGGCAAGCGUUGUCCGGAAUUAUUGGGCGUAAAGCGCGCGCAGGCGGUCCUUUAAGUCUGAUGUGAAAGCCCCCGGCUCAACCGGGGAGGGUCAUUGGAAACUGGGGAACUUGAGUGCAGAAGAGGAAAGUGGAAUUCCAAGUGUAGCGGUGAAAUGCGUAGAGAUUUGGAGGAACACCAGUGGCGAAGGCGACUUUCUGGUCUGUAACUGACGCUGAGGCGCGAAAGCGUGGGGAGCAAACAGGAUUAGAUACCCUGGUAGUCCACGCCGUAAACGAUGAGUGCUAAGUGUUAGAGGGUUUCCGCCCCUUAGUGCUGCAGCUAACGCAUUAAGCACUCCGCCUGGGGAGUACGGCCGCAAGGCUGAAACUCAAAGAAA